GCAACAGAAAGGGGCUGAGGAGAAAGUGAGAGAAGCAGGACAACAGAAGCAGAAAGGGAACAAGAUAGAGAAAGAGAAACUGAUAACAGGCAGAAGACAUCGAGGAAAGGAGAACUCAGGCGUGUUGGUAGUGAAACUAGAGACUGAGAGAUGUAGCAGGAAAUAAAAGAAUACGAAAGACUGAGAACGAUUAUAAGGAGAAACUGAGAGGCUCACUGAAAAAUGGAAAAAGAGAAAGUAUGACACCUGCCAGGGGAGAGGAGCGGGGUGCCCAUAUACCAGAGCAGGAUGAGGUGCCCAGGCCUGGCAGAGAGACCUCUGUCUUCCAAAUACCUCUCAAACAGCUGGAAGGAAGCGGAGCAGUUUGGAAGCCGUGGCAGGCGCCGAGAGCGCCUCUGAACCGGAGCCUGGGAGGGGAGAGAAAGGAGAGGAGACGCCAAGGGGCUGCUCUUUGGCCCCCUCCUCCGACCUUGGAGGAUUCCUCCCCUUCCCCGCCAAGGCGGCUGCAGCCCCAUCCCCCCGCCCUCCAAGAACGCGACCUCCUCCUAGCCCAGACUCCCGGCUCCGCGAUUCAGUCUCCCGGGCCAGAGUCCUUUCCACCCCACCCUAGUGCUUCCAGUCCCAACCACUGGAGACCAAGUCGGGUGAAGCGGGGAAAGGGAAGCAAGCACCCAACGAGGGACCCAGAAGGGCCUCAUGGCCCUAAGAAGUACUCACCCGUCCUCCCCCACAAAGGCUUCUCCUGUCCUGGACCUGGUUUCAGGACUGUCCAGGUGAUAGAAGGAAGAGAGGAGCUGGAAGCUGAACUUGCCUGGACAGAACCAAAAAGUUGCAAACUGACGGCACCUACUGGCAAUCAUCAAGACUGCAGAAGGUCUGGAGAGCUCUGGCAGGGGACAAGAUUGUACAAUUCUCUCCCUACCAUCUCACAGACAUAUUGGGGUCUCUUCUGUAUUGGAGCACAACAAAGAGAGCCUGGAUCCUCAUGUCCCUGGGAGAAGCCCAGCCUGUCCCUGAUUCAGAAAACUUCCCCCAGCCCUAUCCCCCUCAAUCAUCUCGAACCCAGUUCUGCCACCAACUUAUUGUAUGAAGUUG